AAUACGUUCCCGGACCUUGCACACACCGCCCGUCAAGCCAUGGGAGCCGGGUGUACCUAAAGUCGGUAACCGCAAGGAGCUGCCUAGGUAAAAUCGGUGACUGGGGCU
rnacentral:rRNA from 1 species